rnacentral:rRNA from 1 species
GACGAAGGGGGCUAGCGUUGUUCGGAAUUACUGGGCGUAAAGGGUGCGUAGGCGGGUCUUUAAGUCAGGGGUGAAAUCCUGGAGCUCAACUCCAGAACUGCCUUUGAUACUGAGGAUCUUGAGUUCGGGAGAGGUGAGUGGAACUGCGAGUGUAGAGGUGAAAUUCGUAGAUAUUCGCAAGAACACCAGUGGCGAAGGCGGCUCACUGGCCCGAUACUGACGCUGAGGCACGAAAGCGUGGGGAGCAAACAGG